CUCCAGACUCCUACGGGAGGCAGCAGUGGGGGAUAUUGCACAAUGGGGGGAACCCUGAUGCAGCGACGCCGCGUGGGUGAAGAAGUAUUUCGGUAUGUAAAGCCCUAUCGGCAGGGAAGAAUUUAGACGGUACCUGACUAAGAAGCCCCGGCUAACUACGUGCCAGCAGCCGCGGGAAUACGUAGGGGGCAAGCGUUAUCCGGAUUUACUGGGUGUAAAGGGAGCGCAGACGGCAGUGCAAGUCUGGAGUGAAAGCCCGGGGCCCAACCCCGGAACUGCUCUGGAAACUGUGCGGCUAGAGUACUGGAGGGGCAGGCGGAAUUCCUAGUGUAGCGGUGAAAUGCGUAGAUAUUAGGAGGAACACCAGUGGCGAAGGCGGCCUGCUGGACAGUAACUGACGUUGAGGCUCGAAAGCGUGGGGAGCAAACAGGAUUAGAUACCCGCGUAC
rnacentral:rRNA from 1 species